AAUAUUGGACAUUGUGCGAAAGCCUGAUCCAGCCAUGCCGCGUGUGUGAAGAAGGUUUUCGGAUUGUAAAGCACUUUAAGUCGGGAGUAAGGGCAGUAAGUUAAUACCUUGCUGUUUUCACGUUACCUACAGAAUAAGCCCCGGCUAACUUCGUUCCAGCAGCCGCGGUAAUACGAAGGGUGCAAGCGUUAAUCGGGAUUACUGGGCGUAAAGCGCGCGUAGGUGGUUUGUUAAGUUGGAAGUGAAAGCCCCGGGCUCAACCUGGGAACUGCUUUCAUAACUGCUGAGCUAGAGUACGGUAGAGGGUAGUGGAAUUUCCUGUGUAGCGGUGAAAUGCGUAGAUAUAGGAAGGAACACCAGUGGCGAAGGCGACUACCUGGACUGAUACUGACACUGAGGUGCGAAAGCGUGGGGAGCAAACAGG
rnacentral:rRNA from 1 species